UACGGAGGGGGCUAGCGUUGUUCGGAAUUACUGGGCGUAAAGCGCACGUAGGCGGCUUUGUAAGUUAGAGGUGAAAGCCCAGGGCUUAACCCUGGAAUUGCCUUUAAGACUGCAUCGCUAGAUCGUGGAGAGGUGAGUGGAAUUCCGAGUGUAGAGGUGAAAUUCGUAGAUAUUCGGAAGAACACCAGUGGCGAAGGCGACUCACUGGACACGUAUUGACGCUGAGGUGCGAAAGCGUGGGGAGCAAACAGG
rnacentral:rRNA from 1 species